UGGAGGAGGUCUGGCUGCAGCCCGCACGUUCCCAGGUCGCGGAGCUCUGAGGUCUUAAGGGCUUGGCUUGAGGUUUUUCCUAGCAGCCCCAGGGCGGGAGGUGACUGCAACCUGCCCCGAGGCCCCAGGCCGAGCCCAGUCCAAAUUUCCCCCUGGACUGGAUGUCGCUGACCGCCCACCGGGGGCUAGGCGCCCUCAGACCAACCCCAGCUGCUUGCCCAGCGCUCUGCAGAUAAACACCUCUGUCGACGCCUGUCAGUCAUGGGCUGGCUGCCCGGGGGCAAGAGGACUCAGGCUUUGGGGUUCUAGGACGUUUCUGCUUGGAAGGUUGAAGUGAGGUCACGUGCGCUGCUGGAGACGGGAUCCUCACACGCGUGUGUGAAUGACCUGAUGGACAGGUUUCUGGGCUGUUGAGAGAAUGGUCAGGCUCCGGCACCGUGUCCUCAGCCCUGUUGUGACACGUCUAGAAGGCCCUCACCAGCACCUGGGCGAUGCUCUAGCGCUGGCAGCCAGGUCCGCCUGUAUUCUUGUAGAUGACCAGGCUUUGCGUAUUCUGCUACAACAGCAGGAAACGGAGGCUAAUGUUAACAGACUUCGGAAAACUGAACAAGCAGGUCCCACCAAACGGCCUUCUCUCUGUAACACUGCCUUUCAAAUGAAUACAAAAAAAAAAAAAAAAUAGGAAACCAUGUUGGACCAUGGGGCCUUACUUGGGUUCAGUCAACCCAGUUUGUGCACCUACAGCAUGCUGGGUGCUGGAGUGACUCCCGGAAGGCGGUAGAGUUCAUGGUGCGAGGAAGCCUGAGUCGGUCACCUGGUAUCCCCAGAAACCACCAAGGCUCUGGUUAACGAGAAUGGAGACUGUCAUGCUAUCAGCUGGAAAUCCGAUGUAGUGACAAACCAUGCGACCACUGCAGUAGGACAGGCCAAUGAGCUGUGGCCUGGCGAAUGAGCUGUUCUCUCAGUGACGAAGAAGAGGGAGAUGGGUAUUCGUCAGGCUCGGCUCUGCCGUCAGCCACAUGCGGGAAACAGGUACACACAGGCCUUGCACACAGGGGCGUGAAACCUGUCUGCACUCAGCUUACCCAGCGCUUUCCCCAGCUGGCACCACGGGGGCUGCUCAUGAGCCAGCGCCGAGCCCCAGGAGAGUGGUACAGGGCAGGGGAGACCGCCCCAGGGCCAGCACAGGGCAGGGGAGACCGCCCCAGGGCAGCACAGGGCAGGGGAGACCGCCCCAGGGCCAGCACAGGGCAGGGGAGACCGCCCCAGGGCCAGCUCAGGGCAGGGGAGACCGCCCCAGGGCCAGCACAGGGCAGGGGAGACU
rnacentral:lncRNA from 1 species